rnacentral:rRNA from 1 species
GAUGAACGCUGGCGGCGUGCCUAAUACAUGCAAGUCGAGCGAACAGACGAGGAGCUUGCCCCUCUGACGUUAGCGGCGGACGGGUGAGUAACACGUGGAUAACCUACCUAUAAGACUGGGAUAACUUCGGGAAACCGGAGCUAAUACCGGAUAAUAUAUUGAACCGCAUGGUUCAAUAGUGAAAGACGGUUUUGCUGUCACUUAUAGAUGGAUCCGCGCCGCAUUAGCUAGUUGGUAAGGUAACGGCUUACCAAGGCAACGAUGCGUAGCCGACCUGAGAGGGGGGGUGGCCACCAGGGAAACGAGACACGGGUCAGACCUCUAGGGGGGGGAGCAGGAGGGAAUCUUCCAGAAUGGGGGAAAGGCUGACGGGGGAACCGCGGGGGGAGGAAGAAGGGUUUUGGAACCUAAAAACUUUGUUAUAAGGGAAAAAAAAAGGUGUAAGUACUUAGGCAGGUUUUGAGGUAACAUAAUAAGAAGCCCCGGGCAAACUAGGUC